CACGUAGGCGGAUAUUUAAGUCCGUUGUGAAAGCCCUGGGCUCAACCUGGGAACUGCAGUGGAUACUGGAUGACUAGAAUGUGGUAGAGGGUAGCGGAAUUCCUGGUGUAGCAGUGAAAUGCGUAGAGAUCAGGAGGAACAUCCAUGGCGAAGGCAGCUACCUGGACCAACAUUGACACUGAGGCACGAAAGCGUGGGGAGCAAACA
rnacentral:rRNA from 1 species